UGACAGGAUAGGUGACAGGAUAGGUAACAGGAUAGGUGACAGGAUAGUUGACAGGAUAGGUAACAGGAUAGGUGACAGGAUAGGUAACAAGAUAGGUAACAGGAUAGGUGACAGGAUAGGUGACAGGAUAGGUGACAGGAUAGUUGACAGG